rnacentral:rRNA from 1 species
GAUAAACGCUGGCGGCGUGCUUUAUGCAUGCAAGUCGAACGGUCUUGUGACUUAAGCUUGCUUGAGACACAAGAUAGUGGCAAACGGGUGAGUAACGCGUAAGUAACCUGCCCCUAAGUAAGGAAUAACUCUGAGAAGUUAGAGCUAAUGCCAUAUGUGCUGGUGAAGGUAAGGCUUCACCACUAAAGCCUUCAGGCGCUUGGGGAGGGGCUUGCGUCCGAUUAGCUAGUUGGUAGGUAACGGUUUACCAAGGCAAUGAUCGGUAGCUGGUUUGAGAGGGCAUCCAGCCACACUGGGACUGAGACACGGCCCAGACUCCUACGGGAGGCAGCAGCAAGGAAUUUUGUGCAAUGGGCGAAAGCCUGACACAGCGACGCCGCGUGGGGGAUGAAGACCUUCGGGUUGUAAACCCCUUUUCUCAGGGAAGAAUUAUGACGGUACCUGAAGGAUAAGUCUUGGCUAACUACGUG